rnacentral:lncRNA from 1 species
AAAAAAAAAGUGAUUGCUUUCAACCUGAUCCAGUGAAUCUUCAUAUUGUGCCAUUUAGCCUCACUUGAAUGUAUAUUAUAUCUAUACUCAAGUAAAGGUAUGCCAUAUAAAUUAGAUUAAUUUAAUAUAGAUUUUUUUUUCCUUGUUUGCAUACCUAAGGGCUAGAUCGGCAAUCAUUUCCAACAUAUCAAUGUAGUAAUGCUCAUUAUCUAUAACCCUUAAGCUGAGCCUGACAAAUGUCUUUGCUUUAAAGAAUUCUAGGUGAGGAAAUAAUUUCAGAUUAGUUAUGAUCUUACUUAGAUAAUUAUGGCAAUUAUAAAAAUGGUAAAAUAAGAUGUGAAAUCGAAGAAAAGGGGUUGGUGUACUGAAAAAU